rnacentral:rRNA from 1 species
CUUUCUACAGGCUUAACACAUGCAAGUCGAGGGGCAUCAGGAAGAAAGCUUGCUUUCUUUGCUGGCGACCGGCGCACGGGUGAGUAACACGUAUCCAACCUGCCCUUUACUCGGGGAUAGCCUUUCGAAAGAAAGAUUAAUACCCGAUAGCAUAAUGAUUCCGCAUGGUUUCAUUAUUAAAGGAUUCCGGUAAAGGAUGGGGAUGCGUUCCAUUAGGUUGUUGGUGAGGUAACGGCCCACCAAGCCUUCGAUGGAUAGGGGUUCUGAGAGGAAGGUCCCCCACAUUGGAACUGAGACACGGUCCAAACUCCUACGGGAGGCAGCAGUGAGGAAUAUUGGUCAAUGGGCGCUAGCCUGAACCAGCCAAGUAGCGUGAAGGAUGAAGGCUCUAUGGGUCGUAAACUUCUUUUAUAUAAGAAUAAAGUGCAGUAUGUAUACUGUUUUGUAUGUAUUAUAUGAAUAAGGAUCGGCUAACUCCGUGCCAGCAGCCGCGGUAAUACGGAGGAUCCGAGCGUUAUCCGGAUUUAUUGGGUUUAAAGGGAGCGUAGGUGGACUGGUAAGUCAGUUGUGAAAGUUUGCGGCUCAACCGUAAAAUUGCAGUUGAUACUGUCAGUCUUGAGUACAGUAGAGGUGGGCGGAAUUCGUGGUGUAGCGGUGAAAUGCUUAGAUAUCACGAAGAACUCCGAUUGCGAAGGCAGCUCACUGGACUGCAACUGACACUGAUGCUCGAAAGUGUGGGUAUCAAACAGGAUUAGAUACCCUGGUAGUCCACACAGUAAACGAUGAAUACUCGCUGUUUGCGAUAUACAGUAAGCGGCCAAGCGAAAGCAUUAAGUAUUCCACCUGGGGAGUACGCCGGCAACGGUGAAACUCAAAGGAAUUGACGGGGGCCCGCACAAGCGGAGGAACAUGUGGUUUAAUUCGAUGAUACGCGAGGAACCUUACCCGGGCUUAAAUUGCAGUGGAAUGAUGUGGAAACAUGUCAGUGAGCAAUCACCGCUGUGAAGGUGCUGCAUGGUUGUCGUCAGCUCGUGCCGUGAGGUGUCGGCUUAAGUGCCAUAACGAGCGCAACCCUUAUCUUUAGUUACUAACAGGUUAUGCUGAGGACUCUAGAGAGACUGCCGUCGUAAGAUGUGAGGAAGGUGGGGAUGACGUCAAAUCAGCACGGCCCUUACGUCCGGGGCUACACACGUGUUACAAUGGGGGGUACAGAAGGCAGCUAGCGGGUGACCGUAUGCUAAUCCCAAAAUCCUCUCUCAGUUCGGAUCGAAGUCUGCAACCCGACUUCGUGAAGCUGGAUUCGCUAGUAAUCGCGCAUCAGCCACGGCGCGGUGAAUACGUUCCCGGGCCUUGUACACACCGCCCGUCAAGCCAUGGGAGCCGGGGGUACCUGAAGUACGUAACCGCAAGGAUCGUCCUAGGGUAAAACUGGUGACUGG